rnacentral:tRNA from 1 species
UGUACUGUGGCUUAGUUGGUUAGCGCCGGUUUAGCGAUACGGAGGCAUGGGUUCAAAUCCCAUUAAAACAA